UCAGGAUGAACGCUAGCUACAGGCUUAACACAUGCAAGUCGAGGGGCAGCAUUGGAGUAGCAAUACUCAGAUGGCGACCGGCGCACGGGUGAGUAACACGUAUCCAACCUGCCGCUUACUCGGGGAUAGCCUUUCGAAAGAAAGAUUAAUACCCGAUGGUAUAAAGAGUUCGCAUGUUCUCUUUAUUAAAGAAUUUCGGUAAGCGAUGGGGAUGCGUUCCAUUAGAUAGUUGGCGGGGUAACGGCCCACCAAGUCUACGAUGGAUAGGGGUUCUGAGAGGAAGGUCCCCCACAUUGGAACUGAGACACGGUCCAAACUCCUACGGGAGGCAGCAGUGAGGAAUAUUGGUCAAUGGACGAGAGUCUGAACCAGCCAAGUAGGCGUGAAGGAUGACUGCCCUAUGGGUUGUAAACUUCUUUUAUAAGGGAAUAAAGUGAGGGACGUGUCCCUUUUUGUAUGUACCUUAUGAAUAAGGAUCGGCUAACUCCGUGCCAGCAGCCGC
rnacentral:rRNA from 1 species